rnacentral:rRNA from 1 species
GCAAGUCGAGGGGCAGCAUUAUUUUAGUUUACUAGAAUAGAUGGCGACCGGCGCACGGGUGAGUAACACGUAUCCAACCUACCUUUUACAUGAGUAUAGGCUUUCGAAAGAAAGAUUAAUCCUCAAUAGUCUAUAUUUUCCGCAUGGUUUAUAUAGUAAAGAAUUUCGGUGAAAGAUGGGGAUGCGUUUUAUUAGUUUGUAGGUGAGGUAACGGCUCACCUAGACAUCGAUGAAUAGGGGUUCUGAGAGGAAGGUC